UCGACACUUCCGCCGCCGAUUCACAGGGCUGGCUGAGACUCGCGCGCCUCUCAAAAGAACACCCAUUUUCCUUUUCCCCCAUUUAUCACCCCUCCUCCUCGCGCUCCCAGAGCUCCGCUCGCCGCCACCUCUCCUCCUCCCUCGGCUCGCGACGCAGGUACCCGACACCUCUACCCAUCGCCGGCGUCGGCCCACGACACCUCUGCCCAUCGUCAGUGCCGAGUCGACAAAGCCGCCGCGUAGAUUCCGCGCUCAUCUCCUUCUAUUUCUGCGCAUCUGCCAGGUGGGAGAUUGGAGUGUCUGCCCGCCCGCCUUAACCGCCACACCCUUGCAUGCCCUGCGGCGGCGGCGGCGGUGUAGGUGCAGCGCCGAGCCCGCGUAGAUGGUCAUGGACGCCGCGCUCUACGACUGGUGCGGGCCGCUGCCCGCCGGAUCCAAGCUGCCAAUCCACCCCCAGAUCACCGCGGAGGACCUCGAGUCGCUGCUUCUCCUGCCGUCCGACGGCGCCGACGCGGCCGCCUACCUGAAUGCCGCGCCGGCUCCCCUGCUGCCUGCCUCGGCCGACACCGCGUCGCCGCCGCCGCCACCCGGAGACGCCUCGGCCCCCUCACCAGCCGCGCCGGACGACUCGGAGGUGUUCUCCGACAUCGUGCUGGGCUACAUCAACCGCAUGCUCAUGGCCGAGGACAUCGACGAGAAGUUCGACCACUACCCAGCCCACCCGGCGCUGCUCGCCGCCGAGAAGCCCUUCCUCGAGAUCCUCGCCGACCAGCCGCCCUGCUCGGGCGGGAGCACGGUCGAGAGCCCGGACGGCAGCAGCGUCACCACCAACUCCUUCAACAGCCUCGCUUCCUGCAACUGCGCCGCGCCUUCCGGUGGCCUCUGUGCCAUGCAGGCGCCGCCCGCUCUCGAGUUCCCCACGCCGGAGUUCCCGCACCCGCCGCACUUCUAUCAGGAUCUGAGCCCUGAGAGCUGCGUGGUGGAAGCAGGCGGCGCGUGGCCGCCGUGCGACCCCAUGGAAUUCAACCCUCUUCCUGACGCGCUGCUCUCACAAUCCUCGUCCUUCGCGUCUUCAAAUGGCAGCAGUGUUGCAUUUCCAGAGGGCUUCGAGCCGUGGCUCAGCACGGCGGAUGCUGUGCCUCAUGCUGCCUUGAGCGAUUUUGUUCUGCAGAGCCAACAAGCGGCGCAGUUCAGCCGAGGAUUUGAAGAGGCGAGCAGAUUUCUGCCUCAAGAGAGCAAGCUUGUGAUUGACCUUGACAGUUUACCGUCAGUUUGGGUGAAACAAGAUAACAAGGUUGUGGAGGUCAAGAGAGAGAAGGCUGAUGCUCAAGUGGCAAUUCAUCGAGGAAAGAAGCAUUUCUAUGGUGACGACUUGGAUGCAGAUGAAGUGAGAUGCUGCAAGCAUUCAGCGCCUGUCGUCGACGCAGAUCACCUUGUGCGGGAGAUGAUGGACAAGGUCUUGCUAUGUGACGGGGAGACAUGCUCUAGAGGUGUCAAGGAGCUGCGUGAGGCCCUGCAGCACGAUGUUGCAAAUCAUUCAGGUGCUGCCCAUGGCAAAGGGUCUGGCCAUGGCAAGGGCCGUGGCAAGAAACAAGUCAAACAACCCAAGAAGGAGGUGGUCGACUUGGAGACUCUCCUCAUUCAUUGUGCUCAGUCCGUGUCCAUUGAUGACCGGCGGAGUGCAACCGAUCUCCUGAGGCAGAUCAGGCAGCAUGCAUCUGCCACCGGCGAUGGUGACCAGCGUUUGGCACACUGCUUUGCCAAUGGCCUUGAGGCGAGGCUUGCUGGUAAUGGAAGUCGGAUUUACAAGUUACAUACCAUAUCACGGUUUGCAUGCACUGAUGUGCUGAAAGCCUACCAACUGUACUUAGCGGCUUGCCCAUUCAAGAAGAUCUCUCAUUACUUUGCCAACCAAACCAUUAUGAAUGCUGUGGAGAAAGCCAAGAAAGUUCACAUUGUUGACUUCGGCGUAUACUAUGGCUUUCAGUGGCCAUGUCUCAUUCAACGGCUAGGUAAAAGGCCUGGAGGCCCCCCAGAACUUCGGAUCACAGCAAUAGACACACCUCAGCCUGGUUUUCGCCCAGCAGAGCGCAUCGAUGAGAUUGGAAGAUAUCUAAGUGAUUAUGCUCAGACCUUCAAAGUUCCUUUCAAAUACCAUGGCAUCGCAUCUCAAUUUGAGGCUGUUCGGGUUGAGGAUCUCCACAUUGAGAAGGACGAGAUUCUGAUUGUCAACAGCAUGUUCAGGUUCAAGACUUUGAUGGAUGAGAGCGUGGUAGCUGAGAGUCCAAGGAACAUGGUAUUGAACACAAUAAGGAAGAUGAACCCACAUGUGUUCAUUCAUGGGGUCACCAAUGGAUCCUAUAAUGCACCAUUCUUCGUCUCGCGCUUCCGGGAGGCAUUGUUCCACUUCUCUGCUGCCUUCGACAUGCUGGAGGCCAACAUUCCCAGGGAUAACGAGGAGAGGCUGCUCAUUGAGUCGGCUCUGUUUAGCCGGGAGGCGAUUAAUGUGAUAUCUUGUGAGGGAAUGGAGAGGAUGGAGAGGCCAGAGACCUACAAGCAGUGGCAGGUGCGGAAUCAGAGAGCUGGGUUCAAGCAGCUCCCGCUGGACCAGGAGAUCAUGAAGCGUGCGCGGGAGAAAGUGAAGUGCUACCACAAGAAUUUCAUCAUCGACGAGGACAACAAGUGGUUACUACAAGGAUGGAAGGGGCGUAUCCUGUAUGCCCUCUCAACAUGGAAGGCGAAUCCCCAAUCUUCCUAGCUUCUGUAAAUGGUGACCUGUUCAUAUUUUUGGACUCUAGAGCUGAUUGUUCCUGGCCAACAACCCGUUAGUAGAUGAUGAACCUGAUUACUCUUCUGUAGCACCUGCCCGUUGUAUGUGCCCAUACACGGUUAGUUUUCACAGGAAUAGUUAGUGCAUUUUUGGUGGAGCAGGCUUAGUUAUGUUAGAUAUAGGUGCUUCUUGCAUGGUCAGUCUUGUAUUAUAUUCUUCCUUCCAGAAUCCAGAGUACCAUUCAGUAA